rnacentral:rRNA from 1 species
CGCACGGGUGAGUAACACGUGAGUGACCUGCCUUUUAGACUGGAACAACUUACCGAAAGGUGAGUUAAUGCCGGAUGAGUUAUAUAAGUGCAUGUUUAUAUAGGAAAAGUUGGGGAGACCUGACGCUGAAAGAUGGACUCGCGUCCCAUUAGCUAGUUGGUAGGGUAAUGGCCUACCAAGGCGACGAUGGGUAGCCGGCCUGAGAGGGUGGCCGGCCACACUGGGACUGAGACACGGCCCAGACUCCUACGGAAGGCAGCAG